rnacentral:rRNA from 1 species
GCUCCAAUAGCGUAUAUUAAAGUUGUUGCAGUUAAAAAGCUCGUAGUUGAACUUCUGGCAGUCGUUAUCGCAGGCUUCGGUCGCGGUUUGGGCUGUCAUCCGCUAGGGAACCUCGUGCGGUCUUGAUUGAUCGGCGGGAGGAUCUGGCAUUUUACUUUGAAAAAAUUAGAGUGUUCAAGGCAGGCAAUCGCCAUGAAUAC